AAGUGGACUAUUUCAGAACCUAGAACGGAGCCAAAGAGCUCAAGUCCAAGGACAAUCAAGCAAAACAUGCAGUGUGUGAGAGGCUAAAUUAUAAAUGGGUAUGAAAAUAUAAAAAAUAAAUAUGGGGUUGCUUGAACUAGAGGAACUAAUUUAUUUAUUGCUUAAAAAUAUAGUGACUAAGUUAUAAUUUACUCGAACUAUAAGAUUGACAAAUCUGCUAAGCGAAACAAGAAACAGUAAUUGAAUUGGCAGCUCGAAAAUCUUUGAUGAACAAGAAAAGAGAUGAUAACAAGGUCGAAACUGGUGGAGCAAUUGAGAGAGAGAGAGGGGGGGAGUGCCAGAUCCGAUCCCAACACAAGCGUUCUUCUCUCACCAUCUUUUCUCCUAAACCCCCAUCUCGUCCUGGGCUCUGGGGCAAGCCAUUAGAUAAAUACUAGGCAAAAGUUGAUCCAGUUACAUGCUGUGAUAAAAAAUUGUUGAGCCAUACAACUCCAGUCCAAACGAAAUUAAAAUGAAACAAACCCUGAUAAUCAUUGGCUGUGUAAGAGGCAACCAGAUUCUUCUUCAGGGGCUGAUGUCACUGUAGCAAUCUUUUGGGCCUUAACAUUAAGCAUGCUUGUCAUAUCAUCUUACAAGGCACUUUAUUUCCGACAUUUCUGGCUUUUGUUUCUCAUAAUAUGUCUUGCAAUUUUUCUUCCCGUACAUCUGAGAAGUUCAAGGGCCCAGAAUAGGGAGAGAAGAUUGUUAUUGCCUUUGUCCACGUGAACAUGCUAUGGCAUUGAAGCAUUUCAACCAUAGAGCUUUGUAAUUGGAACUUAUCGUUCACAUUUGAUUCCUGUGGCUUAUUGGAAAAAAUUAUAAAACUCGGAGCACUGAUCUUGGUCAACCCAGAUUUGUCCUGCCCUCUCAGAUAGAUGGUAUGAUUCUUUUGUUUAUCCUUCAUAACCAUACACAGAAGCUAUGAGAUUUUUCAUAACACCUUUUUUUAACAAAUGUGAAACUCUAUACAUCUGAGCAAAGUUUAGGAGCAGUUACCUGUUAAUCUUUUGAGUAGUUACAUUGUAAAUUUAGUCCUGUUCGAAAAAACUAUCACAGCAUGCUGUCAAGAUUACUGUGUUGUAAUAAGCUAUUUACAUGAAAUAGAAAAAGGCAUAAUAGACUGUC